rnacentral:rRNA from 1 species
GAUGAACGCUGGCGGCGUGCCUAAUACAUGCAAGUCGAGCGAACGGACGAGAAGCCUGCUUCUCUGAUGUUAGCGGCGGACGGGUGAGUAACACGUGGAUAACCUACCUAUAAGACUGGGAUAACUUCGGGAAACCGGAGCUAAUACCGGAUGAUAUUUUGAACCGCAUGGUUCAAAAGUGAAAGACGGUCUUGCUGUCACUUAUAGAUGGAUCCGCGCUGCAUUAGCUAGUUGGUAAGGUAACGGCUCACCAAGGCAACGAUGCAUAGCCGACCUGAGAGGGUGAUCGGCCACACUGGAACUGAGACACGGUCCAGACUCCUACGGGAGGCAGCAGUAGGGAAUCUUCCGCAAUGGGCGAAAGCCUGACGGAGCAACGCCGCGUGAGUGAUGAAGGUCUUCGGAUCGUAAAACUCUGUUAUUAGGGAAGAACAUAUGUGUAAGUAACUGUGCACAUCUUGACGGUACCUAAUCAGAAAGCCACGGCUAACUACGU